rnacentral:rRNA from 1 species
UGGGGAAUCUUGCGCAAUGGGCGAAAGCCUGACGCAGCGACGCCGCGUGGGGGAAGAAGGCCAUCGGGUUGUAAACCUCUUUCGACAGGGACGAAGCCACUCGGGUUAAUAGCCCAGAGGGUGACGGUACCUGCAGAAGAAGCCCCGGCUAACUACGUGCCAGCAGCCGCGGUAAUACGUAGGGGGCAAGCGUUGUCCGGAUUUAUUGGGCGUAAAGAGCGUGUAGGCGGCCAGACAGGUCCGUUGUGAAAACUAGAGGCUUAACCUCUAGACGUCGAUGGAAACCGUCUGGCUAGAGUCCGGAAGAGGAGAAUGGAAUUCCUGGUGUAGCGGUGAAAUGCGCAGAUAUCAGGAAGAACACCCGUGGCUAAGGCGGUUCUCUAGUACGGUACUGACGCUGAGACGCGAAAGCGUGGGGAGCGAACAGGAUUAGAUACCCUGGUAGUCCACGCCGUAAACGAUGGGUGCUAGGUGUGGGGGGUGUCGACUCCCUCCGUGCCGAAGCUAACGCAUUAAGCACCCCGCCUGGGGAGUACGGCCGCAAGGCUA